UAGCAGCAAACAAAUGAGCUCAAGUGUGUCUCUUCUCUACAGGUGACACUGUCCAAGCUUCUGUGUGACAACUGUGACUAUGUGGAAAGUGAACAGUGGUCUGUCUUUGACCUUCCAGACCCCUUCCUGAACCCCCGAGUGUCAUGUCGCGACCUCCCCGGGGUGAACCUUGAGCUGUGGAAAGAGCGUGUGUCAUGUGGCGUAGGCAAGACUAACAUCGACAUAAGUGGAGCAGAACGCAUCUCUCCUUGUGUUAUGUGCACCUGUACCAAGGAAGGGCCUGUCUGCCAGAGCCUCAAGAUAGACAACUGCUUCCACCUGGCCCAGUCCUACAGUCCUGAGUCUAUUCUGAAUGACCACGUGUGCAAGGUGCAGUGUGCAUUUGCCUUCCGUGCCUUCCCACAAGUGGCCACUCAGGACUCCAACCAGCUCGGAUUUGCCAACAGUUAAAGAGCUGACGUCACAAGAAAUGGUUAGAGAAUAUUUUGCAAUGUCCCUAUCUUGUGAAGUAUGUUAGGGGUGGGGAUGCUCUCUCUCUCUCUCUCUCUCUCUCUCUCUCUCUCUCUCUCUCUCUCUCUCUCUCUCUCUCUCUGUCUGUCUGUCUGUGUAAGAGGCAAGUUUUGUUUUUGUUCAGCAGAUAUAUGGUAUAUUAUGACAGUAAAUUUGGGGUUGAGUGGUUGUAUUUAGCAAUGUCUCUCUGGAGUAAUGCUGUAAAUUUUUGUGUUUGUUUCUCCCUUGUAUGUAUGUAUGUAUGUUCCUCCUGCUCCUCCUCCUUGGGUUUGUGGAAGACUAUAACAUCUUACAGAAAAAAAAAAAAAAAAAAUUAAGUUGUUUUCAUAAUGCUGCUACUGCUGUUUGUAUGUAUGUAUGUAUCUAUGCAUCUGUGUAUAUGUGUGUGUGUGUGUGUGUGUGUGUGUGUGUGUGUGUGUGUGUGUAUUGAUGGAAACACACACACACACACACACACACACACACACACACACAUGAUUAGGUAGAGAACAGACACAAGAAAAGGUAUAUUCAUUCAAAUCUUGCAAAAUGACCUUAGUAUGGCCCAGAAUACAGGUCAUUUAAGGUCAAGUUGCAUGAAAUUUGGUUAUUUAGUGAGGAAUGUUGGUAUAUGUUGACCUCAGCAAGACCCAGGACACAAGGUCAUUCAAGGUCAGAUGUAUUGCUGUUUUGAAUUCAGCAGAUCCAGAAUGAAAGGUCAUUGAAGGUCAAAUUAUGUUUAUGAAGCUUUUCUAUUUAAUUUAGUGAGAUGUGUGUGUGUGUGUGUGUGUGUGUGUGUGUGUGUGUGUGUGUGUGUGUGUGUGUAUGUGUGUGUGUUCAUGUGUUAUUCAAUAUCAUUCAUCUAUGUCUUUUCAGCUCCUUUUAGCCCUAACUUAUUCAUGUGUGUUCUGUCAAUGGUCUCACUUCAUUGCACCUCCAUUCACUGUGUUAAGAAAGGAAAAGUCUCUUGGUGUGGUAGGAAACUGAAAAUUAUAUUUCUGCGUGCUUAUUUUCUUCUGCUAAGUAAACCUAACUCAUAUUUUAUCCUAGUGUGUGUGUGUGUGUGUGUGUGUGUGUGUGUGUGUGUGUGUGUGUGUGUGUGUGUAUUGUAUGUUAAUGUAAAUUGUAAUAUGUAUUUUAUUUUUUAUAAAAUAUUGGCUAAACAUGAUAUUUCUAUGUAGUAAUGUCCCUCUUCAGUCUCCCUGUGUGUGUGUGUGUGUGUGUGUGUGUGUGUGUGUGUGUGUGUGUGUGUGUGUGUGUGUGUGUGUGUGUGUGUAUUGUAUGUUAAUGUAAAUUGUAAUAUGUAUUUUAUUUUUAAUAAAAUAUUGGCUAAA